AGGUUGUUAGUAUUAAGAAAAACAUUUGAUUUCGGCUCAAAAGCUUGUGGUUAAAGUCCACGAUAGCCUA
rnacentral:tRNA from 1 species